CUCGCUUGCUCGUAUGUCGACGGCAGUGGUCACGUGUGUUUGUGUGCGUGCGCGUGCCUGGACUCUCCGAGAGGCGGUUUAGUAAGAACGUUCCGUGGCAGUGGCGAUGCACGAGCGUAGGGCGCUAGUGAUGGCGUGGCUCUUUUACAGUUUGUUGGUGUAUUUUACGUUAUUAAGUGGCGUGACAUGUUUGGUGCCCAUGAGUGGUUAUGGUAUGUGUAAGGAGGAAGUUGAAGCUAUGCAGGUAAGGCUGGAACGAGUACCGGAUUUCGCAGAGACCGUGCAAAGAGUAGAUAGAGGAAGAACAGGAGGUGGACAAGGUAAGGGAGAAAAUGGAGAUGGAGAAGAGAAAGAAAUAGAAGGGAAAGAAGGGGAUUUGGUGUGUUGGGGUUGGUAAAUAGGCAGAAGGAGUGGAAGAGAAGCAGGCUUGGCUUAUUAUAAAUGGUAUUUAAUGGAUAACUGUGUAACGCGAGUGGGUUACACGCUGAUAAUGAUGCGAUAGUGACGUCCUGUGGUGAGGUGGGUCGUGGCGGCCGGCGAUCUUGUGAUUUUUAUAUCAUCGCUUUAAUUCGUCACAUAUCUGAAAGCUUUUAAUUUCUACAUUUAACAACCAAAAUGGUCGCUUGUAACACCAUAGCAGGAUGCAACGAUUGGGCAACAUUAGAUAUACAUGUUAGGAACGUAUGGAAAAAAAAGAGCAGACACUCACCUUUCCCCGUGACCUUGAUCUGUAGAUUCAGCAGCAUCAUCACCCCCUCCGAUGAUGCACGUGACACGACAAUACUCAGAGGGUUUUACCACGGGGUAUAAGCGACACCAAGAGGUCAGUCGUUGCCGUCCAUUGCCACGGGGGUGUACGCGGCGCUGCCAUGUCACGCUCCUGCCUUACAGUUGAUGUCUCUGGCUCCCACUUACAACUUCGCCGGUGGGGGAUACCUUGAAAGCGGAUAUAAUGAUUGGAAAAAAAAGAGUAAAGGAUAUUUAGAGAGGAAGGAGAAAAUGCACAGUUCGUCGGGACGUUAGGAAACAAGUCGUAGGAGAGAAAAAAAAAUGCGAUGGAAUAAAAUGGCAUCGUCUCAAUGAAAUGCCAGGGGGCACCACGGCGGCGGUGGGCAUGCCUGAGACCGCAAGUGAUAUCCUUGCAUGCCCCUCGGCUCGGUCAGCGGCUGUGCGUUGGUCGUCUCGAGUAAGAGUUAAGUAACGACGGGGCUGUUUUUUUUUUCUCUCUCUCUCGGGCUGGGGCUAAGUCGUCAAGGAGCGGCGUGUGUGGAAUAUGUUAAGGGUGGAGCCUGCGUCAUACCCUCCACCUUGCUUUCCUGGGGUAUGCCGUCAAGUUCCUUGCCGUGCGAUCUAGUCCGGGAAUAGCAACGUGUUUCAUAAGGUUUUUGAGAGGCGCGGGUGUUUGUCCGUUUGGUUGUUUGCGUGCGUUGGCUGGUUGGCGUGGUGGGGCGGUAGGAGCUGGCGGCCAAGCAGAGUAUACGUCGUCCACAAGUCUGACUCACGGAUGAGCCAUGUAGGCUUUCUUCGGUCUCGCUGCGUGUCUGCUUUAUUCGGAUUAGAAUAUCCUUUGUCAUCCUAUCAAACCGUAAACACCGCUCUGCCGUAGCUUCUCUGCUCUCGAUUACACGCGCGCACGAGUGCACACAAACAUACAUGCGCGCGCA